GCGCUGAUGGUGUAAGGCGUAGCACCGCUGCUCGAUAAGCAGAAGGUGUGGGUUCAAGUCCCGCAUGGCGCA
rnacentral:tRNA from 1 species